rnacentral:rRNA from 1 species
CCUACGGGGGACAGCAGUCGAGAAUCAUUCACAAUGGGGGAAACCCUGAUGGUGCGACGCCGCGUGGGGGAAUGAAGGUCUUCGGAUUGUAAACCCCUGUCAUGUGGGAGCAAAUUAAAAAGAUAGUACCACAAGAGGAAGAGAUGGCUAACUCUGUGCCAGCAGCCGCGGUCAUACAGAGGUCUCAAGCGUUGUUCGGAAUCACUGGGCGUAAAGCGUGACUAGGCGGUUUCGUAAGUCGUGUGUGAAAGGGGCGGGCUCAACCCGCGGAGGGCACAUGAUACUGCGAGUAGUGAGUAGAGGAGAGGGGAGCGGAGUGCGUGGGGGAGCGGUGAAAUGCGUAGAUAGGGAGAGGAA